rnacentral:rRNA from 1 species
UAGGGAAUCUUCGGCAAUGGGGGCAACCCUGACCGAGCAACGCCGCGUGAGUGAAGAAGGUUUUCGGAUCGUAAAGCUCUGUUGUAAGAGAAGAACGUGUGUGAGAGUGGAAAGUUCACACAGUGACGGUAACUUACCAGAAAGGGACGGCUAACUACGUGCCAGCAGCCGCGGUAAUACGUAGGUCCCGAGCGUUGUCCGGAUUUAUUGGGCGUAAAGCGAGCGCAGGCGGUUUAAUAAGUCUGAAGUUAAAGGCAGUGGCUUAACCAUUGUUCGCUUUGGAAACUGUUCAACUUGAGUGCAGAAGGGGAGAGUGGAAUUCCAUGUGUAGCGGUGAAAUGCGUAGAUAUAUGGAGGAACACCGGUGGCGAAAGCGGCUCUCUGGUCUGUCACUGACGCUGAGGCUCGAAAGCGUGGGGAGCAAACAGG